UGCCAAGUCUCAGUUAGCCCUGGAGGACACUGGCCCGGGACUGGCAGCGCUGGACCAUCACCAUUCUCCUGAGUCUGUGCCAUGUGUCAGAGCUGCGACUUCAGACCUGCGUUACAUUUCCCAGCCAGGAAUUUCUGCAACUUCCCAGGUCUGACACAUGAAGGCUCAACAAGGGAGGCUUUGCGAUGCUGAUCUCUACGGCGCCUGAAAGAACCAACUAUGAUGACAGAAAGUGCAAUCGCCCACUUGAAUACACAAUUUAAAGAAGGUCUGCUAAGCCUAAUUCUGUCAAACAUUUAUUGAGCCUCAACAUUGGUGUAACCCCCACCCCAGCCCACAGCAUUGAACAACAAUGGAUCAAGAAACUCACAAUCUGAUAGGAAAGAUGAGUCCUACAAAUAACAGAAAGGAAGACAGCAGUGCUGGGCUGCCUGGGAUCCGCCCUUCUUUUGAAGAGCUCAUCGCCCUGCCAUUCCAUCAGCACACUCCUCCUAACUGAUGUUGCGAUAAAGAGAAGAACUCCUCUGGAUUCAAGUACUCAGAAAUCUGGCUAUGUUUAGUCUGGCACCUAUGUUCCACUAUGGACUUCUGAAGACUAUAGCCCCAGCAGGAAACAAUGUUACAAGAACCCUGGACUGGGCAGCAGUGUUCUCCAACUGGCUUUACUAAUAAAUACUCUUUGCUAAAUGUUCAUCUAAUAUCCUCAAGUUCCAAGAUCCCUAGACAUUCUUAUUAGCAUUUGGUCUCAGCAAAAGAUCAGAUAAUCAUUUACACCUUAUUGUAGAUUUCAAUGGGUUUGAUCUCCUUGCCCAAUACUAUUUGCCUCUUAAGUCAA